GCGCAGCAGGCGAGAAACCUCCGCAAUGCGGGAAACCGCGACGGGGGACCCCGAGUGCCGUGGCAACGCCACGGCUUUUCCGGAGUGUAAAAGCUCCGGGAAUAAGGGCUGGGCAAGGCCGGUGGCAGCCGCCGCGGUAAUACCGGCGGCCCGAGUGGUGGCCGCUAUUAUUGGGCCUAAAGCGUCCGUAGCCGGGCCCGUAAGUCCCUGGCGAAAUCCCACGGCUCAACCGUGGGGCUUUCUGGGGAUACUGCGGGUCUUGGGACCGGGAGAGGCGGGGGGUACCCCUGGGGUAGGGGUGGAAAUCCUAUAAUCCCAGGGGGACCGCCGAGUGGCGAAGGCGCCCCGCUGGAACGGUCCGACGGUGAGGGACGAAGGCCAGGGGAGCAAACCGGAUUAGAUACCCGGUAGU
rnacentral:rRNA from 1 species